rnacentral:rRNA from 1 species
UACGAAGGGGGCUAGCGUUGUUCGGAUUUACUGGGCGUAAAGCGCUCGUAGGCGGUUCUUUAAGUCAGAGGUGAAAUCCCAAGGCUCAACCUUGGAACUGCCUUUGAUACUGGGGAUCUUGAGUCCGGGAGAGGUGAGUGGAACUGCGAGUGUAGAGGUGAAAUUCGUAGAUAUUCGCAAGAACACCAGUGGCGAAGGCGGCUCACUGGCCCGGUACUGACGUUGAGGUGCGAAAGCGUGGGGAGCAAACAGG